rnacentral:rRNA from 1 species
GAUGAACGCUAGCGGCAGGCCUAAUACAUGCAAGUCGGACGGGAUCCAUCGGAGAGCUUGCUCGAAGAUGGUGAGAGUGGCGCACGGGUGCGUAACGCGUGAGCAACCUACCUCUAUCAGGGGGAUAGCCUCUCGAAAGAGAUAUUAACACCGCAUAACAUCAACAGUUCGCAUGUCCGGUUGAUUAAAUAUUUAUAGGAUAGAGAUGGGCUCGCGUGACACUAGCUAGUUGGUAGGGUAACGGCUUACCAAGGCUACGAUGUCUAGGGGCUCUGAGAGGAGAAUCCCCCACACUGGUACUGAGACACGGACCAGACUCCUACGGGAGGCAGCAGUAAGGAAUAUUGGUCAAUGGGCGGAAGCCUGAACCAGCCAUGCCGCGUGCAGGACGACUGCCCUAUGGGUUGUAAACUGCUUUUGUCCAGGAAUAAACCUAAAUACGUGUAUUUAGCUGAAUGUACUGGAAGAAUAAGGAUCGGCUAACUCCGUGCCAGCCGCCGCCGUAAGAC